CCUACGGGAGGCAGCAGUGGGGAAUAUUGGGCACUGGGCGACAGCCUGACCCAUCAACGCCGCGUGCAGGCAGACGGCUUUCGGGUUGUAAACUUCUUUUGACAGGGAAGAGCAGAAGACGGUACCUGUCGAAUCAGCAACGGCUAACUACGUGCCAGCAGCCGCGGUCAUACGUAGGUGGCAAGCGUUGUCCGGCUUUCCUGGGGGUAAAGGGCGUGUAGGCGGGCUUGCAAGUCAGAUGUGAAAUCCGGGGGCUCAACCCCCGAACUGCAUUUGAAACUGUUUGUCGCGAGUAUCGGAGAGGCAGGCGGAAUUCCUAGUGUAGCGGUGAAAUGCGUAGAUAUUAGGAGGAACACCAGUGGCGAAGGCGGCCUGCUGGACGACAACUGACGGUGAGGCGCGAAAGCGUGGGGUGCAAACAGGAUUAGAUACCCUAGUAGUC
rnacentral:rRNA from 1 species